rnacentral:rRNA from 1 species
CCUACGGGAGGCAGCAGUGGGGAAUAUUGCACAAUGGGGGAAACCCUGAUGCAGCGACGCCGCGUGAGUGAAGAAGUAAUUCGUUAUGUAAAGCUCUAUCAGCCGGGAAGAAAAUGACGGUACCUGAGUACGAAGCCCCGGCUAACUACGUGCCAGCAGCCGCGGUAAUACGUCGGGGGCAAGCGUUAUCCGGAUUUACUGGGGGUAAAGGGAGCGUAGACGGCAGUGCAAGUCUGGAGUGAAAGGCCGGGGCCCAACCCCCGGACUGCUCUGGAAACUGUACGGCUGGAGUGCAGGAGAGGUAAGUGGAAUUCCUAGUGUAGCGGUGAAAUGCGUAGAUAUUAGGAGGAACACCAGUGGCGAAGGCGGCUUACUGGACUGUAACUGACGUUGAGGCUCGAAAGCGUGGGGAGCAAACAGGAUUAGAUACCCUAGUAGUC